rnacentral:rRNA from 1 species
GAGUUUGAUCUUGGCUCAGAUUGAACGCUGGCGGCAUGCCUUACACAUGCAAGUCGAACGGUAACAGGUCUUCGGAUGCUGACGGGUGGCGAACGGGUGAGUAAUACAUCGGAACGUGCCCAGACGUGGGGGAGUAACGAGGCGAAAGCUUUGCUAAUACCGCAUACGAUCUAAGGAUGAAAGCAGGGGACCGCAAGGCCUUGCGCGUUUGGAGCGGCCGAUGGCAGAUUAGGUAGUUGGUGGGAUAAAAGCUUACCAAGCCGACGAUCUGUAGCUGGUCUGAGAGGACGACCAGCCACACUGGGACUGAGACACGGCCCAGACUCCUACGGGAGGCAGCAGUGGGGAAUUUUGGACAAUGGGCGAAAGCCUGAUCCAGCAAUGCCGCGUGCAGGAUGAAGGCCUCGGUUGU